rnacentral:tRNA from 1 species
GCCGAUGUGGCGGAAUUGGUAGACGCGGUAGACUCAAAAUCUACUUCUAGCAAUAGAGUGCUGGUUCGAGUCCAGUCAUCGGCA